UAUUUUCUGUUUAUUCCUGCUAUGUAGAAUAGUUUAUUUUACAAAAACUUUGUUCUUUGCAGGAGAAUAUCAAAUUAUUUUGGUUCAAAUGUUAGCUCCGCCCAUUCACAGGCUGUAGUUGCGCUGCUUCAGCGUCAACGUCCCACCACACAGUUACCAGCUAGGUUGGUACACGUGCGUGUUCGGCUCUCUGGCAGUGGCACUUAACAGACACCAAGUUUGAAUGUUUCUUCUCUAUUAAUCCGGAGAAGGGGACAAAAGUGGAACAAACAAAAACAAAACGGCUCCAUGUGAAUCCAAGAGUCCUUACUUUGAUUCAGGACCUCUCAGACCACGAAUGGCGAGCUAUUUAAAAAGUUGUUCCUUCAAGUGGCCGCGACAGUGAACACCCAUGUGUUUCUCUAGAUGUUCUUCUGGAAGCAAUGCAGUUGCAUGUUAAUCAAGCCUUUACCAUGAUUCACAAGCUCUCCAUGAAUGGCAAGCUAUUUAAAAAGGUAUGUGUGCUAGUGCUACUGCUGCCCUUGAUUAUUGACUGACUUUACUAAUGAAACUAAUGGAGAAUAUGUGUUUCUGUCUCUUCUCUAUUCCAUUAGUUGUUCCUUCAAGUGGCCGCGACAGUGAACACCCAUGUUUAUCUAGAUGUUCUUCUGGAAGCAAUGCAGUUGCAUGUUAAUCUAAGCUUCUGUAACUUGAUUCAUGACCUUUUCAACCAUGAAUGGCGAGCUGUUUGAAAAGUUGUUCCUUCAGGUGACCGUGAACACCCAUGUUUAUCUAGAUGUUCUUCUAGAAGCAAUGCAGUUGCAUCUUAAUCAAGCCUUUACCAUGAUUCACAAGCUCUCCAUGAAUGGCGAGCUAUUUAAAAAGUUGUUCCUUCAGGUGACCGUGAACACCCAUGUUUAUCUAGAUGUUCUUCUAGAAGCAAUGCAGUUGCAUCUUAAUCAAGCCUUUACCAUGAUUCACAAGCUCUCCAUGAAUGGCGAGCUAUUUAAAAAGUUGUUCCUUCAGGUGACCGUGAACACCCAUGUUUAUCUAGAUGUUCUUCUAGAAGCAAUGCAGUUGCAUCUUAAUCAACCCUUUACCAUGAUUCACAAGCUCUCCAUGAAUGGCGAGCUAUUUAAAAAGGUGUUCCUUCAAAGUGAUGGAGCCGAUGAACACCUAUAUCACCUUUUUCCGUGGCUCGCUAUUAACAAGGUUCACAUUUAUUCACUCACUCACUACCACACCUCACUUAUAAUUCCUCUCUCUCACAAACACAAGUGCAACCACACACACACACACACACACACUUUAAUGAUCUCUUUCUCAUUAUUUUUUCAACAAUAAAUUUGCAUUAUUGUGAAUUGUA